GCCCCCAGCUUAGUCGACGAUUCCUACGGGAGGCAGCAGCUAAGAAUCUUCCGCAAUGGGCGAAAGCCUGACGGAGCGACGCCGCGUGGACGAAGAAGGCCGGAAGGUUGUAAAGUCCUUUUCCUGGGGGAGAAUAAUGCGGGGAGGGAAUGCCCUGCAGAUGACGUGAACCAGGGAAUAAGCCCCGGCUAAUUACGUGCCAGCAGCCGCGGUAACACGUAAGGGGCGAGCGUUGUUCGGAUUUAUUGGGCGUAAAGGGCGUGUAGGCGGUAGUGCAAGUCUGGUGUGAAAGGCCCCGGCUCAACCGGGGAAGCGCGCUGGAAACUGUGCUGCUAGAGUUUAGGAGGGGAAGCUGGAAUUCCUGGUGUAGGGGUGAAAUCUGUAGAGAUCAGGAAGAACACCGGAGGCGAAGGCGAGCUUCUGGCCAUAGACUGACGCUGAGGCGCGAAAGCGUGGGGAGCAAACAGGAUUAGAUACCCUGGUAGUCCACGCUGUAAACGAUGUGCACUAGGUGUUGGGGGUAUGAACUCUCGGUGCCGGAGCUAACGCGUUAAGUGCACCGCCUGGGGAGUACGCCGGCAACGGUAAAACUCAAAGGAAUUGACGG
rnacentral:rRNA from 1 species